AUUGAACGCUGGCGGCAUGCCUAACACAUGCAAGUCGAACGCGAAAGAGGGGCAACUCUUGAGUAGAGUGGCGGACGGGUGAGUAAUACGUAGGAAUCUGCCCUGGAGUGUGGAAUAACCCAUCGAAAGAUGGGCUAAUACCACAUAAUCUCUAAGGAGCAAAGGGGGCUAGCAAUAGCUUUCGCUUUGGGAUGAGCCUACGUCGGAUUAGCUAGUUGGUAGGGUAAAGGCCUACCAAGGCGACGAUCCGUAGCUGGUUUGAGAGGACGAUCAGCCACACUGGAACUGUGACGCGGUCCAGACUCCUACGGGAGGCAGCAGUGGGGAAUAUUGGACAAUGGGGGAAACCCUGAUCCAGCAAUGCCGCGUGUGCGAUGAAGGCCUGCGGGUUGUAAAGCACUUUCGGUGGGGAAGAAAUGCUCAAGUAUAAUACAUUUGAGAGCUGACAUUACUCACAUAAGAAGCACCGGCAAACUCUGUGCCAGCCGCCGCAGUAACAC
rnacentral:rRNA from 1 species